rnacentral:rRNA from 1 species
GAUGAACGCUAGCGGCAGGCUUAACACAUGCAAGUCGAGGGGUAUAGGUUUUCGGACCUAGAGACCGGCGCACGGGUGCGUAACGCGUAUGCAAUCUACCUUUCACAGAGGGAUAGCCCAGAGAAAUUUGGAUUAAUACCUCAUAGUAUUAUGAAGUGGCAUCAUUUUAUAAUUAAAGUUCCAACGGUGAAAGAUGAGCAUGCGUCCCAUUAGCUAGAUGGUAAGGUAACGGCUUACCAUGGCUACGAUGGGUAGGGGUCCUGAGAGGGAGAUCCCCCACGCUGGUACUGAGACACGGACCAGACUCCUACGGGAGGCAGCAGUGAGGAAUAUUGGUCAAUGGACGCAAGUCUGAACCAGCCAUGCCGCGUGCAGGAUGACGGUCCUAUGGAUUGUAAACUGCUUUUGUACGAGAAGAAACACUCCUUCGUGAAGGAGCUUGACGGUAUCGUAAGAAUAAGGAUCGGCUAACUCCGUGCCAGCCGCCGCCGCUGUAA